rnacentral:rRNA from 1 species
GACGAACGCUGGCGGCGUGCUUAACACAUGCAAGUCGAACGGAGUGGCGAACGGUUGAGUAACACGUGGGUGAUCUGCCGUGCACUUCGGGAUACGCUUGGGAAACUGGGUCUAAUACCGGAUAGUGCAAGAUGAGCUCGCGGCCUAUCAGCUUGUUGGUGGGGUAAUGGCCGACCAAGGCGGCGACGGGUAGCCGGCCGGAGUGGGUGUACGGCAACAUUGGGACUGAGAUACGGACCAGAUUCCUACGUGAGGCAGCAGUGGGGAGUAUUGCACAAUGGGCGGAAGCCUGAGGCAGCGACGCCGGGUGGGGGAUGAAGGCCUUCGGGUUGUAAACUCGUUUCGACAGGGACGCGGUACCUGUAUAAGAAGCACCGGCUAACUACGUGCCAGCCGCCGCGGUAAUAC